rnacentral:lncRNA from 1 species
AACUAAAAAUAUGUUUGUGUUUACUUUUUUUUAAAUUAUUUAAAAACAAAAAUAUGUUUGUCUUCACUUUUCUUUAAACUAUUUUAAAAAAAGGUGGCGGUGGCAAUGGCGGUGGAGUAGGUGUGGUGGUGGGGUGGGUGGAGUAGCGGUGGUGGUGGAGGAAGUAGCGGUGGAGGAGGUGGAGGUGGAAGUGGAGGUGGUUGCGGCAAUGGAGGAGGAGAUGGUGACGGAGGUGGUGGUGGCGGCGGCAGCGGUGGAGGAGGAGGUGGCGGCGGUGAAAAAAAUUUGUAAACAAAACAAAAAUAUAUUUUUGUUGUUUUCACUAUUUUUAAAAAUAGUGGUAGUAAUUUUACCUGAUUUACAAUUAUAAAUAACACAAACAAGUUUUUAUUUCGGUUAAACAGAAAAACAGAAAUUAAAUUGUUAACAAAUAUCCCCUAAAUAUUUCCGAAUUGUAAAAAAUUUCUUCCGCUAAGAAAUUGAAUAGGUUAUAAACAUUAUAAAUAUUUUUGUUUUCAAAAUUAUUUCUAACUGUUAUGGAAAACUAAUUUUGAAUAGGACAUGCAGUCUAGUUUCGGCCGGUAGAUUUGUAAUUCAAAUAUUUUGAACCCUAUUUUGAUAAUUUAAAUUAUUUAUAUUGUAAACCUUAUCAAGGAGCUUAAUACUGAAAAAAAUCACAUUAAUCAGAUACAAAUCAAUAGUCGAUUGAUAUCAAUUUAUAUUAAGAUAAGCGCCCCUCCCUCACAGCGCCCCUCCCCCUGUCCUCCUCUUGUCCCCACUUUUACGCUUAUACCGCUCCUUCAUAAAUAUUUUUCCACCCUCCUCCUCCAACCAAAUUAACCCUUUUUUUUCCCUUUCUUUUUUCAGCUUUUUUUCUUAGUUAACCCCCAUUUUUUUCAGCUGCGGUUUUUUUCUUCUUCAGUUAACCCCAUUUUUUAUGUAAUUUUGUUUCUUUUCUUUUCUUAGUUUUGUUUAUUAGUUUUAUUUAUUUUUUAAUCAGUUUUGUUUGUUAAUUUUUUUUGUUUAAUUUUUGACAAAACUUCCUUCUCUUUUUAAAUUCCCCACCAAUUCUUGACACAUGUCAGAAUCUCUUCUCCUUUUAAAUUACCCCAAUCUUAACACA